CCUAGGGGGGCUCCAGUGAGGAAUAUUGCACAAUGGGGGGAACCCUGAUGCAGCAACGCCGCGUGGAGGAUGACGCAUUUCGGUGUGUAAACUCCUUUUAUAUGUCAAGAAAAUGACGGUAGCAUAUGAAUAAGCACCGGCUAACUCCGUGCCAGCAGCCGCGGUAAUACGGAGGGUGCAAGCGUUACUCGGAAUCACUGGGCGUAAAGGGCGCGUAGGCGGGUUGGAAAGUCAGGUGUGAAAUCCUACAGCUUAACUGUAGAACUGCACUUGAAACUUCUAAUCUAGAGUAUGGGAGGGGGAGAUGGAAUUAGUGGUGUAGGGGUAAGAUCCGUAGAUAUCACUAGGAAUACCUAAAGCGAAGGCGAUCUCCUGGAACAUUACUGACGCUAAGGCGUGAAAGCGUGGGGAGCAAACAGGAUUAGAUACCCCAGUAGUC
rnacentral:rRNA from 1 species